AUCCCUGCCUCCCUGACCUGCUCCAGGCCCAACCAGCACAAACAGGUCAGCCUCCCUCCCUGCAGGCCUCUAGGAGGGUGGUUCUGUCUGUCUGAUGCAACUGGACACAGAUCCCUUUACCUGGCACAACUGCACCCAUCACAUGAUGUCCCUGUCUGGACUGCUCUCAGACCGAAGGUUGAAGCACAUCCCUAACACCCAGACAGAUGCACGUGGUAGAGAUGAAUAUAACAAUACUCCAAGGCAGGACAUUUCCCUGCAUCCAAGUUGAGGCCUGCUACCAGCAGGAACAUGGAACACUCCAUGUCAGU